CCUACGGGUGGCAGCAGUGGGGGAUAUUGCACAAUGGGGGAAACCCUGAUGCAGCGACGUCGCGUGAGUGAUGAAGUAUUUCGGUAUGUAAAGCUCCAUCAGUAGGGAAGUAAAUGACAGUACGUGUCCAUGUAUCCCCGGCUAAUUACGUGCCAGCAGCCGCGGUAAGACGUCGGGGGCCAGCGUUAUCCGGAUUUACUGGGCGUAAGGGGAGCGUAGACGGUUGUGUAAGUCUGGAGUGAAAGCCCGGGGCGCAACCGCGGGACUGCAUUGGAAACUGUGUAACUGGAGUACAGGAGGGGCAGGCGGAAUGCGUGGUGUAGCGGUGAAAUGCGUAGAUAUCACGAAGAACACCGGCGGCGAAGGCAGCCUGCUGAACUGAAACUGACGUUGAGGCUCGAAAGCGUGGGGAGCAAACAGGAUUAGAUACCCCAGUAGUC
rnacentral:rRNA from 1 species